CUACAGCUAGCAUCUUCUUUUUAUUUUAAUCUUAACUGUGUUCAUUGAUUUCUGAUUUUGGAAUUUGUAAAAAUGCAUUUUUUUGCAGUAAACAGACUGGCCUCUCGGUUUUCCAGAAUGAUGCUUAAAAAUAGCAGCAGGACAUUUGACCAUGACGGAAACAAUGGACUAGGUAUGGAACAUAAUGAGUACUCUAAUGUACAUAGUUGAGUAGUUUAACCAGGCAGAUCAUUAUCAGUUUACAGAUCUACUAAGUUCAAGAAUUUUGUUGCUAAUUACAGCAUAAUGUAAUAAAUAAGUACAACAUAUGUAAUAACUGAGAAUACAAUUUGCUCAGGUUCACUAACCUAUAGGAAUUAGUUCCAUGCACAUUACAAGUUGCACAUUUCAUGUUGUAUAUUACAUGACAUCCUUGUGGUGAAAGAUUUAUUUUCAGGUUAUUGUUAUCAGUGUAUGAAACGCAAGCAAACAUGGAAAAGAAAGAUCAAAGGAAUUAAAGAAAAAUAUCAAUUACAGAGAACGAGGAGAGGUAAAGUAAUCUCAGGGACAAACUUAUUAACAUUGCUUUCCCCUUAAUGCAAAUUUGAUUAAAAACAGCGUUUUCCCAAACUGCAGAUAUUUUUUCUCAUGUGCAGAAAGUAUGGGAUGUAUUAUACUUUAUAAUCUAUGGUGUUUAUUUGUUACAAUGCAGUACAAAAAUGUACAAUUCUUCUGCACAUUUUUGGAAUCAGAUACCCUCUUGUUAUACCCCACAAUUUAAAUAUUUUGCUUUAACUGCCCACAUCAGAGUCCCUUCCUAGCACUGUCAUUGCGAUGCACAGCUCCCAGCACUUCAUUCUCAUGCUCAACUCCCAGCACCAGGCCUUGAACACAUUGGUGAAAGGUCAUAGUUUGGUUCACUUUCCACCCCAUACAAUAACAAUGACCUAACAAUAACUAACUGUAAAUUAAAUGUUGCUCUGUGGUCACUUAAAAUUCCUUUUCUUUCUCAGAGUACCUUAGGAAUAGGAACAGGAGGUUUAGACGUCCAUCAAUAACAAUUAAAAUUCUUCUAGAAAAAAAUGAAACUUAUGGUGAGGAAGCCACCGGCUCAGUAGCACAGGAGGAAGGUGCUUCAACAGCUCAUGAAGUAGCUCCUGACAGCGGACUGUUAUAAUAAAAGUUUAUAUGUUUGUUGUGUUUUGUUAAUAAAGUUUUUCAUUUGUUUGUUAA